GUGAUUGCCAGGCCCUUGUAAACAGUGUGGAGGAGGUGAUAGCUCGACCUCGUCAAGAAUACUGUGAUCAUAGCUCCUCACCGCGAUGCCUAAGCAAGAAAGGGAUCGAGGGAAUGCAACAGAUGGUGAACAGAGUCAGUGGGUUUUGAUUGCUCCAGAAGCAAUAUUCAGUUGUGAAACACCAAAAUCUCCUAAUGUUUCCUUCUGCAAACUAAGACACCCAAAAACAGAGGAGGGAGCCAUAUUUCUCUUCAGCUCUGACAACAGACAGGUGUUUGAAGUGCUACAGCAUAAGAGAGAAUUUGGAUCAUGGAUUAUAGAACAAACUAUUCAAAAAGGUAGAACAAAGUAUUCAUUUGAAUUAUUUCUGAAUGAUUGUUUUACGCAUAUAGUAAUGUUUUUUUCUUUUCUUUUUUUUAUUUUUUUUUUAAUUUCAAGAAAUUUGACAGCUACUUUUAUUUUAAUUUAAUUUCCUGAAAUUAAAUUUAAUGGUAAUUAAACAGCAAGACUCUGUAGCACUUGAACACUUUGAAAUAAUAAUGGCUUGAAAUUUUAUAGUUAUGUUAUGGA